AUAAUGGGUCAGCGACUUAUAUUCUGUAGCAAGGUUAACCGAAUAGGGGAGCCGAAGGGAAACCGAGUCUUAACUGGGCGUUAAGUUGCAGGGUAUAGACCCGAAACCCGGUGAUCUAGCCAUGGGCAGGUUGAAGGUUGGGUAACACUAACUGGAGGACCGAACCGACUAAUGUUGAAAAAUUAGCGGAUGACUUGUGGCUGGGGGUGAAAGGCCAAUCAAACCGGGAGAUAGCUGGUUCUCCCCGAAAGCUAUUUAGGUAGCGCCUCGUGAAUUCAUCUCCGGGGGUAGAGCACUGUUUCGGCAAGGGGGUCAUCCCGACUUACCAACCCGAUGCAAACUGCGAAUACCGGAGAAUGUUAUCACGGGAGACACACGGCGGGUGCUAACGUCCGUCGUGAAGAGGGAAACAACCCAGACCGCCAGCUAAGGUCCCAAAGUCAUGGUUAAGUGGGAAACGAUGUGGGAAGGCCCAGACAGCCAGGAUGUUGGCUUAGAAGCAGCCAUCAUUUAAAGAAAGCGUAAUAGCUCACUGGUCGAGUCGGCCUGCGCGGAAGAUGUAACGGGGCUAAACCAUGCACCGAAGCUGCGGCAGCGACG
rnacentral:rRNA from 1 species